CAAUACAGGGACCUCUCUGCCAUGCCCUACCGGCAGCAUAAACAUAUCCCUAGCCAGCUCCGGGUUCUGGUUACACCACAAUGGGUGGGCACCGAUCUAUCCCAGAGCACAAAAUUUUACUAGAGAAACUGCAAGGAAGAGGACAGACACUUGAGGAAUGCUGAGUUUUUUGUAAGGGUUUUGCGCACAGAGAAGACUCAGAACACAUCUUCUGUAGCACCAGUCUGGAGGUGAGGCUCAGACAAGCUCCUUGGAGCACAGAGUAUUUAAGGAAAUGAUGGAUGCAAAGAUUUUUGGAGAGCUGUUUAAUGUGGUCAGUAGGAAGAAAAAGGCACGGAAAUAGGUUCCUUGUUCUGCCCCAAAAUUCACCACCCUUACUCUGUUCCUGGAAUUAAGCUCCUAAACAAGUCAGGAAGGAGUCUGGCUGCUUUUAUUCAGAAAAACAAAGCACCCAGUCAGAGCAUGCAGGUGCUAGGUCCAAGAACAGCUGAGGACGUGUCUCCUGAGAUCAGCCUGAGCUGCAGGACAUCAGGCUCCCUGCAAGUCUCACUCAGU
rnacentral:lncRNA from 1 species